UGAGGGAAAGUUGCAAAGUACUUUGAAGAGAGAGUAAACAGUGCGUGAAACCGCUCAGAGGUAAACGGGUGGAGUUGAACUGCAAGCUUUGAGAAUUCAGCUGAUGAGUGUGGUUUGAGCUUGGUCAAAUUGGUGAACUCCGGGGUCUGCGUAGUAGCAGGUCUUUGCCUUCGGGUGAGGAUGCGCGAUACACUUGUCAAGUGUUGUGCGCUUCGGUUGUUCUUCGGCCUGCUCGUCAGUGCACUUUCUCUUAGUGGUCACCACGACCGGCACCGCUGUCUGGCUUCUUCGGUUAAACCGGUUUUGCUUAGUCAUAAGGCUUUGCUUGAUCGGGAGGGCAGGUAGCUCGUUGACUUGCUUGUGGUUCGCUGCAAGCGUUCGGUUUUCGAGUGUUAUUAGCUGACCGGAGUAGUACUGUGCAGUGUGUCGGAGACGGCGGCUUGUAGUGCGUGCAUGCGUGCCUGUUCUGCUGACUUGUCCGAGUUUGGUUAUUAUGUUGCCUGUUCAAGCAGGCCUGGUGAUGGCUCGGAUUCGUUCGGUGGGCGGUUGCGUGUGUUGCACCUUUCAGGGCCAACAGUCUGUGGUGUAGUGGUAGACUUUCCACCCGACCCGUCUUGAAACACGGACCAAGGAGAGUAACAUGUACGCGAGUCAUUGGGCGUUACGAAACCCACAGGCGCAGUGAAAGUAAAGGUCUGACUUGUUCAGGCUGAGGUGAGAUCCUGUCGUUYCUCACGCGCGGUACUACCAAGCAUCGAGCGGCCGGCGCAUCACCGGCCCGUCCCAUGGCAGUUGUCUUCGGACAGUUUUCAGUCGGGCCGGAGCAUGAGCG
rnacentral:rRNA from 1 species